UGUAGUUGUAGUAAUUAGUUAAUAAAUUUUAAUCCUUAUUUUCAUUUACCAGCAGUUUAAACUAUGAGAGAAAAGUUCGUUUGGCAUGUAAGUCUUUUUCAGGUGUAUUUUUUCUUAGGCUUUGUAUAAAAAAAUACAAAAAA